rnacentral:rRNA from 1 species
UACGAAGGGGGCUAGCGUUGCUCGGAAUCACUGGGCGUAAAGGGUGCGUAGGCGGGUCUUUAAGUCAGGGGUGAAAUCCUGGAGCUCAACUCCAGAACUGCCUUUGAUACUGAGGAUCUUGAGUUCGGGAGAGGCGAGUGGAACUCCGAGUGUAGAGGUGAAAUUCGUAGAUAUUCGGAAGAACACCAGUGGCGAAGGCGGCUCACUGGUCCGGUACUGACGCUGAGGUGCGAAAGCGUGGGGAGCAAACAGG